AGCAGCCGCGGUAAUUCCAGCUCCAAUAGCGUAUAUUAAAGUUGUUGCAGUUAAAAAGCUCGUAGUUGAAUUUCGGGACCAAUAUGUCGGUCGUGCUUCGGUACGUACUUGCAUUAUUGGUUUCUCCCUUCUGAAGAACCAUGAUGUCAUUAAUUUGGUGUCUUGGGGAAUCAGGACUGUUACUUUGAAAAAAUUAGAGUGUUUAAAGCAGGCUCACGCUUGAAUACAUUAGCAUGGAAUAAUGAAAUAGGACGUUUGAUUCUAUUUUGUUGGUUUUCUAGGAUCGACGUAAUGAUUAAUAGGGAUAGUUGGGGGCAUUAGUAUUCAAUUGUCAGAGGUGAAAUUCUUGGAUUUAUUGAAGACUAACUACUGCGAAAGCAUUUGCCAAGGAUGUUUUCAUUAAUCAAGAACGAAAGUUAGGGGAUCGAAGACGAUCAGAUACCGUCGUAG
rnacentral:rRNA from 1 species